GAUGAACGCUGGCGGCGUGCCUAAUACAUGCAAGUCGAGCGAACAGACGAGGAGCUUGCUCCUCUGACGUUAGCGGCGGACGGGUGAGUAACACGUGGCUAACCUACCUAUAAGACUGGGAUAACUUCGGGAAACCGGAGCUAAUACCGGAUAAUAUAUUGAACCGCAUGGUUCAAUAGUGAAAGACGGUUUUGCUGCCACUUAUAGAUGGAUCCGCGCCGCAUUAGCUAGUUGGUAAGGUAACGGCUUACCAAGGCAACGAUGCGUAGCCGACCUGAGAGGGUGAGCGGCCACACUGGAACUGAGACACGGUCCAGACUCCUACGGGAGGCAGCAGUAGGGAAUCUUCCGCAAUGGGCGAAAGCCUGACGGAGCAACGCCGCGUGAGUGAUGAAGGUCUUCGGAUCGUAAAACUCUGUUAUUAGGGAAGAACAAAUGUGUAAGUAACUAUGCACGUCUUGACGGUACCUAAUCAGAAAGCCACGGCUAACUACGUG
rnacentral:rRNA from 1 species